UACAGAGGGUGCGAGCGUUGUUCGGAAUUAUUGGGCGUAAAGGGCGCGUAGGCGGCGCCACAAGUCACUUGUGAAAACUCUGGGCUCAACUCAGAGCCUGCAAGCGAAACUGUGGUGCUGGAGUAUGGGAGAGGUGCGUGGAAUUCCCGGUGUAGCGGUGAAAUGCGUAGAUAUCGGUAGGAACACCUGUGGCGAAAGCGGCGCACUGGACCAUAACUGACGCUGAGGCGCGAAAGCUAGGGGAGCAAACAGG
rnacentral:rRNA from 1 species